UUAUCACAUUGAAUGACCGGUUCCCGUAGGAUCACCGAAGUUAAGCAACGUCGAGCCUAGUCAGUACCUAGACUGGUGAUCACUUGAGGAUACUAGGUGCUGUAA